AGAAAAAUAAGCUAAAUUAAUAAGCUAAUGGGCUCAUACCUCAUCAAUGGAAUAUAUCCUUUUUCUA
rnacentral:tRNA from 1 species